AUAGUGUAACGACUAUUGAAACGCUAUGGAGCUAUUUCAAAAAUUUUGGAGAAGUCAUAGACAUAUACAUGCCUAAAGUAGACAUAUGUACAAACAAACCACGUGGUAUAGCUUUCGUCACAUUUGUUGACGAGGACUGUGUAAACAAAAUAUUAUCAAACAAGAAUUCUAAACAUAUAAUAGAUGGAAAAGAAGUGGUUGUAGAUUUAGCUGAUCCUGAUACAAAAGCCCCAAAGAAGUUACACCAGUG